UUCCUAUGCCUCACUGCUCCUCAGAGUUUAAAUUCUGAGAGUCACUGAGAGUCUGAACUGUUCAUUCACUCAAACUGAAAACUGCAUCAUGAUGAUGUUUCCAAUAACUGUGGUUGUCAUAUUCAGUUUUCUGAGUCAAGAGUCAUUUGCCAACAAUUUUCUGACUCAGCCUGAUAAAGCCAAGUCUGUCACUCUGGGAAGGACUGUGACCAUCAGUGCCACAGGGGGUACAAAUAUUGAUAAUGAUCUAAGCUGGUACCUUCUGAAACCUGGACAGCCUCCCAAACCUCUUAUAUACUGGGCAUCAACUCGCUUCUCACGGACUCCGUCUCGUUUCAUCGGCAGUAGAUCUGGUUCUCAGUACACUUUAUCCAUCAGUGAUAUUCAGGCGGACGAUGCUGGAGAUUAUUACUGUCUGGGCUUCCAUGAUGAUGGCACGUUCACACAUUGA